UCUCAGAGCGGGCUGUGCACACACCGUGCUUCGGAGCACUCAGCCUGCAACUCUUCAGAAAGAACAUCUACCACAGCACUGGUCUCCAGAUCUCAAAUGAAGGACAGGCAUACCCUGAGAGCACCCCACCCUCCCCAGCCUUGACUUUGACAUGAGAGGAUCCUUUGCAGUGCUGGUUUUCCAUCAGCUCAGGAACAAGCAGUUACAGUCGUGAAGGACCAGCCACACAGAUGCCAUUCCUCCCUGUGCCAUUUGCCAUCACACUGAAAUCCACAGAGAACUCUGACAUUCUAGGACAGCGAGGGAUGCAUCUGGGAUCCAGCUAUCCCUUGCCUAAAUAAAGCAGCCCACAGAUUAGACCAGUUUGUUCUAGGAGUCAAAAUAAAGAAGGAAUAGAAAGGUGGCAGAAAUUUACUCUUGUCUACCUAACCAAAAGAGUAAGAACACUCUCCACAAACAUGUGAAAAAAAUAAAUGCAUAUAGCAAAUAUGCAUUUAUUUUAGACUGUAAAGUCUACUGACACCUUUACCAUGCCCAUGCAAGGCCUUGACAUAUCUUAAUGGAGAGAGUGACUACACAAACAUUUCAAAGGCAAUUUUGUUCUAGAUUAGUUUUCACACAUCUUAGAAGAGCACUAUGCAAAGGAUGCAGAGCCAGGGCUGACCUAACUAACUCCAGAACCAACUUGCAGAUAAUUCAGUCUUUUGGGUGGUCAGGCUUAUUUCCUCAUGUACUACACAAGAAAGGAAGUUACUGUACCUCCAUCUGACUCUUUGUCAACCCUCACAAGAAGGACCAGCUUUACUGAUCCUGAUUCCUGAAGGCAUGGUAUUGGUCUUUCACUUCUUUAAAUUGCUUGAAGAAAUUGAGCUUAAUUAACUUAUGAAAACACACUACUAAAUCAGAAUCUAUUCUUUGGAAGUAACCAGAAUUUCUCCUUGUUUUCAGGGAAAGAAAAACACUUUAUUUUCCUUAGCUGAUAAUUCCAAUUAAAAAGUCUACAAAUCACAUCAGAUUAAUUAAGUUUUAUGUGAAAGUACAAGUGUAUAUAUUUUACUUAUUAAUGUAUUUCAUUUGCACA